rnacentral:rRNA from 1 species
UUAUUUGGCCAAACGUCCUUGUCAAUGCCUGAUCUUAUCAGAUCUCAGAAGCUAAGCAGGGCUGGACCUGGUUAGCACUUGGAUGGGGGACCACUGAGGACUGGAGCAAAAAAUA